UUCUUUCGGAUGAGCCUCUGGAGGCACACCCCCCGUCACCCCGCUCUCGACGCCACGAGAAAUGGACAGGAGAGAGGUUGGACUUGCGAAGGAGUCAGAGAUUACGAUCAAAGACUUUUCCUACUUAAGACUGCAGCUUUCUGGUUCAAGCUGCUGAGUCAACUUUCUUCACACGUUGCAGAGCAUGUCUAGAGUGUAGUUAGGGAAUUCUAGUGAGCUAGCAUUCUAUGAAGCACACUGCUUUUGAUGCAUCCAUUACUUUAAUAAAACAAGAUUUAAUUGCACCUGCGUCUCAGCCUCAUGGAUCCCGCUCUGAAUGGGACAAGCAUCCAGCACCAGCACAUUACAAUUGCUACAACAGCAGAAAAGUCAUUAAGUGGUCCACCAAGACCGUCAGUGAUUUUCAGAACAUUUCCUAGCUCUAAGAGCUGCAGUGAAAUAUGGCACAGCAAAAAAGAAGGAUGCUGAAAGGAGAAAUGAUUUCCACAGAAACCUGAAGAACUGAAUUUAAGAUUGGAAAAAUGUGAAAGUGGGAGAACCGAAAUUAUCAGAUUGUCCAAUCCGUAACAGACCUUUCCCAGGUACUGAUGGACACAUUGGCACCUACAGACACUAGGGAUGGGGUUUGCUCUUUGGUUCUGGUCCAUGGUUUGUUUUUCACAACUGGCUUGUGCCAAUCCACAACAUUUCCCCCCUCCCCAUUCUUUUUGCUGUUUCCGAUCUGCUUGUAAUAGCUAACGAAAUCGCUGCAACCCUACCUUCCUGUUCACCUGCUCCCAUGGGUGAUGCCCUGGUCUCCUCUCGCUUAGACUACUGUAAUGCGCUCUAUGUGGGGUUACCCUUGAAGACAGUCCGGAAAUUACAGCUGAUACAGAAUGCAGCGGCACGCUUGAUUAAGAAUAGCCAUCACCGUGAUCAUAUCACCCCGGUAUUAGUAGAUCUACACUGGUUACCAGUUGUCUACCGGGCCCAAUUCAAGGUGUUGGUGUUGACCUUUAAAGCCCUAUACGGUUCUGGCCCAGUUUAUCUGAAGGAGCACCUCCAGCAUCACCAAUUAUGCCGCCUGACAAGAUCAGCCACACAAGACCUUCUCUCGGUUCCAUCAGCUAAAACAGCUAGGCUGGUGCGGACCAGAGAGAGGGCAUUUUCUAUUGUGGCCCCCACCCUCUGGAAUUCCCUUCCUUUCGAACUUCGCCAUACCCCCUCCCUGACAGGUUUCCGCCGGGCCUUGAAGACCUGGCUAUUCAGGCAGGCCUAUGGGGUCUCCGGGGAUGGGUCAGCUUUUAAUGUUGUUUAGUUUAAUGCUGUUUAAUUUUAAUUGUUGUAUUUUGGGUUUUAUAUUGUAUUUUAU